rnacentral:rRNA from 1 species
UGGGGAAUAUUGCACAAUGGGCGCAAGCCUGAUGCAGCCAUGCCGCGUGUAUGAAGAAGGCCUUCGGGUUGUAAAGUACUUUCAGUCGGGAGGAAGGUGUCAAGGUUAAUAACCUUGGCAAUUGACGUUACCGACAGAAGAAGCACCGGCUAACUCCGUGCCAGCAGCCGCGGUAAUACGGAGGGUGCAAGCGUUAAUCGGAAUUACUGGGCGUAAAGCGCACGCAGGCGGUUGAUUGAGUCAGAUGUGAAAGCCCCGGGCUUAACCCGGGAAUUGCAUCUGAUACUGGUCAGGGAGAGUCUUGUAGAGGGGGGUAGAAUUCCAUGUGUAGCGGUGAAAUGCGUAGAGAUGUGGAGGAAUACCGGUGGCGAAGGCGGCCCCCUGGACAAAGACUGACGCUCAGGUGCGAAAGCGUGGGGAGCAAACAGG